rnacentral:sRNA from 1 species
CAGGCUCCCAGGGUGAUUUGAGAGUUGCCAGGAGAGGAAGGCCAUUUGGCAAGAAUCCUGACAGACAAAAGCUGGAGGAGGGUAGAGCAAGAUGGCAGAAUAGAAAGCGCCACCGAUCAUACUCCGCCCCCACAAGGACACCAAGUUAACUACCUACACAGAAGAAAUACCUUCAUAAGAAUCAAAAAUCAGACACACCCUGGGCCAGAAGAGAACCCACUUCCUUGAAGGAAAGGAUCCAGUCCUGGCAGCAUUCAUCGCCUGCUAACUGAAGAUCCCUUGGGCCUUGAAUACCAGCAGCAAUACCCAGAUUUGAUGAAAAAGAAAAUGUGUCCAACUGCAUCCAGUUGAAAACUUCAGUUAUUAAGGGUAUUAAGAAUCAAUUGAUAGAGCAAUUUCCAGGUAUUGAACCAUGGCUUAAUCAAAUCAUGCCUAAGAAAGAUCCUGUCAAAAUAGUCCGAUGCCAUGAACAUAUAGAAAUCCUUACAGUAAAUGGAGAAUUACUCUUUUUUAGACAAAGAGAAGGGCCUUUUUAUCCAACCCUAAGAUUACUUCACAAAUAUCCUUUUAUCCUGCCACACCAGCAGGUUGAUAAAGGAGCCAUCAAAUUUGUACUCAGUGGAGCAAAUAUCAUGUGUCCAGGCUUAACUUCUCCUGGAGCUAAGCUUUACCCUGCUGCAGUAGAUACCAUUGUUGCUAUCAUGGCAGAAGGAAAACAGCAUGCUCUAUGUG